GACGUAGGGGGCGAGCGUUGUCCGGAAUUACUGGGCGUAAAGGGCGUGUAGGCGGCCGACCAAGUCCGGUGUGAAAUUUCAGGGCUCAACCCUGGACGUGCACUGGAAACUGGUUGGCUUGAGUGCAGGAGAGGAAAGUGGAAUUCCCAGUGUAGCGGUGAAAUGCGUAGAUAUUGGGAGGAACACCGGUGGCGAAGGCGGCCUUCUGGCCUGUAACUGACGCUGAGGCGCGAAAGCUAGGGGAGCAAACAGG
rnacentral:rRNA from 1 species